CAAAUUCAUUUCCUGUAACUGUGAUACCUUGUUUUACCUGUUAAACAGGACAGCAAAGUGAAACAAGAGUCAGUUGGUUCAGCUGUUUGGCACAGAGGUCAGUUCAGCCACAGAUUUACAUUUUUAGGUUUUUUUUUCUUUUUUAAUCGCUCACUUUUUUUAAAAACAAAAUACUCACCUAAAGUAGUUUCUUUUGAACCUACAGAAAAAGCAGAUGGAUUACACAAACCUCACAGUUUUUAUCUUCAAGUGGAUUUUUGUUCCAUCCUGAUGAUCAGAAGAGUGUUUGAGGAUUUAACAGAUCUCUUAAGAACAACAGUAACUGUUUGUUGUCAUUUUCUAAAAUCAUUUUCAGUUCUUUAGGUAAAACGUUUCAGUUUUCUUGGUUACAGUUUGAUUAACAUCAACCCACAAAAGUAUUUGAACAGAAACUCCAAAAACGAGUGAAACUAAAUUUAAAAUAUAAUUUCAUUUUCAGUGGAUGUUAACCAUGAAAAGCCUGAAAGAUCAUUGGUUUUCUGUUUUUCUGUUUGUGACGAUGAAACGAGAAUCAAACUGUCGUCAGAAACAAAACGUGCUUCUGCUUCAGCGACUGAAACACAAACUGUUCAUACAUGACGACACAUGAGAGCUUCUGAUUUUGUUCUGAGCAGAUCGUUCAACAACUGAACACUAAAACUUUUCCACUUCGCCUCGUUUGUUAUGACGCAAUUAUUUCUCCGCAUCCUCAGUCGAACCUACCAAACGUCACUCUAACGCGACGUUUCAACCUGCAGCUUUAUCUUUAUUUAAACCGUAAAUAUAAUCUGAUGUGUUCAGGUUUAAACUCAGGUUCAGUUAUUGAGUGAAAACGCCAACAGACUCAGACAUUUAGAACAAACUAAGAGUCAGAUCAGCAGAAACAGAGAACACGGACAUGUCUGCUGUAACUGCGUCGCUCUGCUCCACGCUGAUGUUUGUCCUGUUCGUCUCUGCAGACCAGAAAAACAUCACAGCUGAGUCUGGACAGGACGUCACUCUGACAUGUCGAGCUCCAAACAACAACAUCAUAGUUGUAAAGUGGAGCAGAGCUGAUCUGGGAGAUGAUUAUGUGCUUUUGUACCGGGAUGAGCAGUUUGAUCCAGAAGGCCAGCAUCCAUCUUUUAAGAACCGGGUGGAUCUGCAGGACAGACAGAUGAAGGAUGGAGACGUGUCUUUGAUUCUGAAGAAUGUGACGAUUAAUGAUGUUGGAACAUACGAGUGUGGUGUUGUCCAGCGAGUGAGAGGACCUUUGACUCUAAUCAACACCACCUACCUUCAUGUUGAUCCUCCAGGUGAGUGA
ensembl:lncRNA